rnacentral:tRNA from 1 species
GGGUUUGUAACUGAAACUCAUUCAUCAGAAUCGUCCUCCACACGACUGAAAAUCGUGAGGUCACGGGAUCGACGCCCGUCGGAGCCACCA